rnacentral:ncRNA from 1 species
GCGAGCCACAUGCAGGGAAACCUGCACGUGUGGUUCUGGUCGAGGACCCCGGUAUACUGUACUAAUAUGUGUAGGUUCCUGUAAUUCGAGU